rnacentral:rRNA from 1 species
AUCAGGGUGGGGAGGACAGAAACCUCUGUGGUGCAGAAAGGCAAAAACUCGCUUGAUCUUGAUUUUCAGUACAAAUAUAGACCGUGAAAGUG